rnacentral:rRNA from 1 species
AGGACGAACGCUGGCGGCGUGCCUAACACAUGCAAGUGGAGCGACGAACCAGGCUUCGGCCUGGGGCAAAGCCGCGAACGGGUGAGUAACACGUGGGUAACCUGCCUCGAUGAUUGGGACAACCCGAGGAAACUCGGGCUAAUACCGAAUGUGCCCUCCGGCCAUAAGGCUGCUGGGGAAAGGAAGCUUCGGCCUCCGCAUCUAGAUGGGCCCGCGGCCCAUUAGCUUGUUGGUGAGGUAACGGCUCACCAAGGCGACGAUGGGUAGCUGGUCUGAGAGGACGAUCAGCCACACUGGGACUGAGACACGGCCCAGACUCCUACGGGAGGCAGCAGUGGGGAAUUUUGCGCAAUGGGGGAAACCCUGACGCAGCAACGCCGCGUGGAGGAUGAAGCCCCUUGGGGUGUAAACUCCUUUCGAUCGGGAAGAUAAUGACGGUACCGAUAUAAGAAGCCCGGCUAACUUCGUGCCAGCAGCCGC